UCAUGCUCAUAGCUAGGCUUGGUUAGCCCUGUUUUCAACCUCAGACCCCUGGCAACAAUAAGCCCUAAACUACUUAAAAGUACUCCAAACACAACAACAUUAGUGUGUGGUGUAAUAGUAAGAACAUAUUCCAUGCAGAUUUGUCCUGAAAUUUUGUACUUAACUUUAUGCUCCGCGCAUAUUACCGUGAUAUAAGUAUUAUUUCGCUCAGACAAACCAUGCCGAACAAAAGCCAUCAAGCCAUGGAAGUGAAAGCGGUCAAGCUGUCAGGUUUUUUUGAGCCAGAAAUCUCGAGUGACAUGUGACGCUCCAGCUGUGUUGAACCGGUGUGCGCUGGCUCCAUUUUGUGGCCAGAUUGUACUGACACGAGCGUGUGGCGGAGCCAAAUGCAGCACAAUGGCACGGAGUGUUUGGUUAACGCUUUUAUUAAACACGGCUUAACAGCAGGCGUUCGGGCACAAUGAGAGGCAGAGCAGAGUUCGGUCCUCAGGAUCGGGGAGGAAAUGCCGGGAGACAGCUGGUGCGAUCGCUGGGCCGGUCGGGGAUCCGGAGCACAGGAGCAGAAGCGCCGGGCAGUCCAAGGAGCAGGCAACAGAAACCCGAGGCGCUCAGGCAGGACUCGUGGUCGGCACCGGGGCGGAGACAGACGAACGGUAGUGUUGUUACCUCCGACCCUCCUGCUUCGAAGCUUGUGUCGAAAUAUGAACCAGUGCAAGACGAAGCAAAUGUAUCGGUGCUUGGUUCGUUCUCUGCUGAUCACGUGAUCAGUGACGUCCGAAGCUUCGGCCCCGCUCACAGUGACGUCAUCAGUGACGUCCGAAGCUUCGUUCGGGCGCACAGUCACGUGACCGCUUCAAUUUGAUUCAAAUGGGCGCGAAACAGGCUCGGGUUUGUUUGAUACAGUCAAAGUCAGUGUUGUUGUGAGUACUAGUUGCAAAGAGCAAAUUUACAAUGGAACCUGUGGCAAAGAGAGGUCGCUCUGAGAUGUGGGAGCACUUUGAUUUGAUUUCCUCUAACAAGGCUGGCAAUAGGCAGGCCAAAUGACUCAUUUGUAUUGUGUAAUUAUUUAUUAAUUAUGGAUCUUUAUUUUUAUUUGUGUUUUUUAGUUAAACUAUACAUACCUUUGUAAAUUGUGUUGUCGGGUCCAAUGUUUGGUUUGCCAUCAGCAAUUGGCCUAUAACAACAACACCUCAUCCAUGCUGAGGCACUUUCGUGCCAAGCAUGAGGCUGGUCAAGCUGCAGCAAGCAUCCAUGGUGAAAGAAGGCCAAAGAAAAGGUCCAGAAGGCUACUGCUGUGGCUUUGACCUCUGAUAUGUGGACAUCCAUCCACAUGGACCCGUACCUGGCCUUCACUUGCCAUUUUGUGGAUGAAGAGGACAGGUUGGCUACUGUUUUGCUGGCAGUUGCCAAGUUUGGGGAGCGGCACACGGCUUCAAAUAUUGCCUCUGUGAAAGGGUCCAUAAUGGAGGAAUGGGGAAUCCCCAAAUCCGAAGUUAUGUGCCUAACCACAGAUGGGGCCUCCAACAUGACCUUGUGUAGUACCAUGAUGGAGAUCAGGCACAGCCACUGCAUUGAAUUUAGUUGUGAAGAAAGCAAUGAAAUUAACACCUGGUCUGGAGGAGGUCCGCACUAAGGCAAGGGAUAUUGCCACACACUUUAGAACUAGCACUGUAGCUAGAGAGCGCCUUCUCUGUCUCCAGAAGCAAAGGGGUGCUCAAUGCACAAAACUCAUUCAAGAGGUGGAAACAAGAUGGAACAGCACCCUGGACAUGCUGCAAAGGCUGUAUGAGCAGAGAGAGCCAGUGGGUGCAGCCUUGGCCUCUCUGCAAACAGAUGUGUCACCACUCACCUCAAACCAGUAUGCCAGUAUUGGUCAGUGCAUUGCACUUUUGGCCCCGCUCAAAGAAGCAACAGUCGAGCUUUCUACAGAGAAACACGUGUCUGGAUCUAAAAUAAUUCCCUUGGUAAAGAUGUUGCGCCACACAAUUCCAGCCAAGCAAAGGCAGCUGACUGAUGAAAUGGCAAAAGUUCUGGGAAAGCAUUUACUAGGCCUAAUGCACGAGAAGCUCUAAACUAUGAACUGGCUGGACAGCACGCUCUGGCCACGCUCCUGGAUCCUCGUUUCAAAACGAUGGGGUUUUGCAACCCCACAAACCAGCAAAAUGCCAUAAAAAAACUUACUGCUGAAACAGUGACUGUGAUAAGGCAACAAUCACCUGAUCCUGCACCCUCACAUGAUGAAACACCAUCAACUUCAGAAGAUGCACCUUCAGCGUCUGAUUCCUCAGGACUGUGGGAUCUUUUAGACACCCAAGUUCUUGAGAAGAAGACGGUGAGAAGUGCGUCAGCCAAUGCCACUGUGGAGACCACCAGAUAUUUGGCCGGGCCAAACAUUCCACGGAGUGAAGACCCGCUGAAAUAUUGGGUCAAACACAAACAUGUGUACCCACAUCUAUUUGUAUUGGCUUGUAAUCUUUUGAGUAUCCCUGCCUCAUCCGUACCGUGUAAGCGUGUUUUUUCUAAGGCGGGGGAAAUAGUUUCUGCAAAAAGAAACCGACUUAACCCCAAUACUGUAGAGAAAAUUGUGUUUCUCAAUAAAAAUCAAUAAUAAUUCCAUGGCCCAUCUCAUGUGUCCAGUCAUAACAAACCUGUCCAAAAGCACAAUCACUGCCCCACUGACCUUUCCUCUGUAAAUCACUUCCCACAUUCCAGAUUCAAACAAUUCACAUCAGUCCCUAUGACUGCCAUGAAGUGCACAUGCAGUAGGAAGUACUUGCUGGUAUUUUAAAUGAUAUUGCUUACAUAUAACUCUAUACUACAUAUAUAAAUCUUCUAUUAAUUCUUCUGCUAGUAUGAUCACAUAGAUAAGUGUUUGUUCUACUUCUUCCUAAUGUACAGAGAAUUGAAAUACACAAACAAGGACACAAUUCAAACCUGAAAAACAAUAGUUUUAUUCAUAUAGGAAUCCAUGUAUUUAUUGGUUCAACUUUUCAUAAUCAUGUUCAACCCACAGAGACUGGGCCAAAAUACACUGGUAGGCCAUUUGAAACAUGCACUACAAGUUUUCAACAGCAGAGGUCACCAUAGAGUUUUCAAUACAAUUGGCUGGAAAGCUUCACUUUGCCAUCACUAACGAACGGGUCGGGAACAGGGUUGAAACAGGGAGAUCAGUCCAAGGUAGAGUGCUGGAGAGACUUGCAUGACGCGAAGAACAAUCUGGCAAUGACAGGCUGGGUGUGCAGUGCUUAUGUAGCGGGGCUGAUUGUGAAUGUGAAGCAGGAGUGGAAGGCAGGAGAGUGACUGAUUGUGGAUGCGGGGCAGGUGUGGAAGAUCGAGCUGGCAGGUGAGUGUGACAGACGCGCUGCGCUGACCGUCCUCCGCUGCCUCUUCCUCUGGCUCCACGGGUUAGCAGAUGAGUGUUUGUUCUGUGGUAAAAUGGUUGACUCGGGUGCUGAGCAGAGUUUUUUGGACACCGAGGUGGUUUCUCAGGCAAGAAUCUGAACGGAACCACUAGUUCCUCCGGUCUGUGUGUGUGCGUUAGACGGAAAAUCCCUAGCCCUUGUCACCCACCGCACUGAGCUCUUACUCCUUAUUUCGUCUGGUAACCACCGUGAGGUAAUUCAGUUUUUUGUUUUUUCGUCUCCUAAGACCCCCCUAGUUCUCGGACAUCCGUGGCUGAAGCAACAUAACCCUCACAUCGACUGGACCGCAAGAUCAGCGAAUGGAGUAAGUUCUGCCACUCUUCCCGCCUACAGUCUGCGUUGCCCCAAACCGGGGGCAGUUUCACUCUCCCAGAGUCUGCCCCUCCUGAUCUGUCUUUGGUGCCUACGGUGUAUCAUGACCUCGGCGAGGUAUUCAGUAAGGAGAGGGCUCUCUCCUUGCCACCGCAUCGUCGUUAUGACUGCAAUCAAGCUGCUACCGGGUUCCACCUUUCCCUCAAGUUGCUUGUAUAACCUGUCACGACCUGAGAGAGAGGGAAUGGAGACUUAUAUUAAUGACUCACUGGCCGCUGGAAUGAUCAGAGCAUCUUCCUCGCCUCUCGGGGCAGGGUUUUUUUUUGUGAGGAAGAAGGAUAAGACCCUCCGUCCUGUAUUGACUUUCGGGGCUUGAACAACAUCACGGUUAAGAAUAAGUACCCUCUACCACUAAUCAGUUCUGCCUUCGAACCCCUACAGGGAGCCACCAUCUUCAGCAAGCUGGACCUAAGAAGCGCAUGCCACCUGGUACAAAUUUGUGAAGGAGACGAGUGGAAGACAGGGUUCAAUGGCCACUUUGAAUACCUGGUAAUGCCUUUUGGGCUGACCAACGCUCAGGCGAAUCAAAGCGUUGGUGAAUCAUGUUUUGAGAGAUUUUUUGAACCGGUUUGUCUUUGUUUACCUUGAUGAUAUUUUGAUUUUUUUUCUGUAACCUCUCAGAACAUCAACUUCAUAUACGGCAGGUCCUCCAGAAGCUUCUGAGAACAAGCUGUUGGUAAAAGCCAAGAAAUGUGAGUUUCACGUCAACUCUGUGGGCUUUCACGGCUACAUCCUUGAGAGUGGACAGGUAAGGAUGGACCCGGAGAAGAUUAAAGCGGUGGCAGAGUCGCCGGAAUCCUCCUCCAGGAAGUUGUUGCAACGGUUCCUUGGUUUCACCAACUUUUAUCGCCGUUUUAUCCAGGACAACAGGAGAAUUGCUGUUCCCUUGACCAGACUUACAUCUCCUGCAGUUCCUUUCCAGUGGUCUUCUGAAGCAGAUCGAGCUUUUGUCUUAUUGAAGGACCGCUUCACCUCUGCGCCCAUUCUGGUACAACCAAACCCUUCUCUACAAUCUGUUGUUGAGGUUGACGCGUCUGAAAGUGGGGUGGGAGCGGUCCUCUCCCAACACUCCGGACCUGGACUAAAAUUGCACCCAUGUGCAUUUUUUUUCUCGACGCCUGUCUCCAGAGGAGAUCAACUAUGAUGUCGGUAACUGGGAACUUCUAGCUGUAAAGUUGGCUCUGGAAGAGUGGAGUCAUUGGCUGGAGGGAUAGGAGACCUUUCAUUGUGUGGACGGACCACAAGAAUCUUGCCUACAUCCAGUCAGCUAAACGUCUUAAUCCCCGUCAGGCCCGUUGGGCAUUAUUUUUCGGCCGUUUCAAUUUUUCCAUCAUGUUCCGUCCAGGAUCAAGGAACAUUAAGCCGGAUGCCCUGUCCCGCCAGUUCACGGUAGAGGAGUCCUUGAGGGGAUCAGAUACAAUCCUGCCCGCAUCGUUUGUGCUGGGAGCUCUGACCUGGGAGGUGGAGGCAGCAGUUCGGGAAGCGCAAGACGUGGACCAAGUCCCCAGCACAGGACCGGCAAAUCGGCUGUUUGUUCCGGAGUCAGUCCGCUCUGAAGUCCUGCAGUGGUGACAUUCCUCUCGGUUUGUGUGUCAUCCAGGGAUUAGUCGUACGUUGGCUCUCCCCAGACGACAUUCUGGUGGCCUGCCAUGGAGGGGGACACUAGGGGAUAUGUCCUCGCCUGCCCGGUUUGCCCGGGCCAAAGCCUCUCAUCGACCACCGAUGGGGCUGCUCCGCCCCUUUCCAACGCCUGGUCGUCCUUGGUCCCACAUAGGUGUAGACUUUGUCACCAACCUACCUCUUUCGGAUGGGAGGACCACGAUACUGACUAUUGUGGACCGGUUCUCCAAGGCAGCCCAUUUUAUUGGCCUCCCCAAGCUUCCGUCAGCCCAUGAGACAGCGACCCUCUUAACAAAUCAUGUCUUCCGCCUUCAUGUUAUUCCGUUGGUCUCCGACCGUGGUCCUCAGUUCAUCUCGCAAGUUUGGAAGUCGUUUUGCCACGCCCUGGGAGCUACGGUCAGCCUCUCAACUGGAUUCCACCCACAGACUAACGGACAGAAUGAGAGGGCUAGUCAGGACCUGGAGGCUGCCAUACGCUGUAUGGCCGCUUCGAACCCAUCUUCCUGGAAUACUAAGUUGGAUAGAGUAUGCACACAACUCUCUACCCACUGCUGCCACUAGAGCAUCACCAUUCGAGGGAUCGAUGGGUUAUCAACCCCCAUUGUUCCCAGCCGAGGAGGAGUUGGCUGUUGCAAGAUUUGGAGGGACACCCAGGCAGUGCUGUUGAGGACAGCUGAGAGAAACAAAAGGACUGCUGAUUGACACCGAACCCAGGCACCGAACUAUACACCAGGCCAGAGGCUGUCGGCUAAGGACAUUCCAUUGAAGACAGACUCUAGAAAAUUAGCACCACGUUUCAUCGGCCCAUACGUAAUUAAGAAGGUCAUUAACCCCUCCACAGUCAGACUCAUCAUCCCAAAGUCCCUCAGGGUUCACCCUACCUUUUCAUGUCUCCCAGUUGUUACCAGUCCUCUGUCCCCUCCGGCCACUCCUCCUCCUCCCGCCCGGGUCAUUGACGACCAUCCUGCUUAUACAGUCAGACGACUACUAGAUGUUAGGCGGCGAGGUCGGGGUUUUCAGUAUCUCGUGGACUGGGAGGGUUACGGUCCAGAGGAGAGGUCUUGGGAGCCUCGUUCAUGCAUUCUGGAUGCUGACCUAGACCGGGACUUUGACACGGCCCACUCGGACAAGCCAAGAAAAUCGCCUAGAGGCUCCCGUUAAGGGGGGGGUACUGUCAUGCUGUCAACUGUCAGUCCAGCACCCCCUCAUGUUUUUGUUCGAAUUACCUUUGUUUCCCAGAUCUGUCAACAGAAGGCCACUCCCCCUUGCUCUGUUGCAGAGGGUGUGACUGAAACAGCUGACGGAGAUUUACCAUCAUGGACAGCCCUACGUAAACCUGGGUCUUCAUGCCAUUCGCCGCCAGAUCGUUCCAUCAUCAGAGUGGUAGCUAUACGUACAGACUGGUUGUUUAUGCGAAUUAGACUCUGUUGCUCACCCUGUCCAAUCUUUUUUGCCAUAGAGUACCGGGACCCGACUUACCUGCUGGCUGGCCUUCCAAGACAAGUACCCGCUCCUGACAAAGACCUGUCCUCGGCACCCUUUUGUUUGUCUGCAAAUAAAUCUAUUUUUCUCCCUAAGAAGACCUCCCUGUGACUCCUCUGUGCUGCGCUUGGGUCCAUGCCCUACACUAAAA